rnacentral:tRNA from 1 species
AAUUAAUGAACUUGUAUAAGUGUAUAUUUUGAAAAUAUAAAAAAGAAGUAAAAUCCUCUAUUAAUUU